GUGCUUGGUUCGGCAGCACAUAUACUAAAACUGGAAUGAUACAGAGAUUAGCAUGGCCCCUGUGCAAGGAUGACAUGCAAAUUCGUGCAGCAUUCCAUAUUUUU